rnacentral:rRNA from 2 species
UAAUUAAAUUUAUUGUAGAUAUAAUUGAAUUAAAAUAAUAAUAAAGCAUUUAUUUAUUAAGUAAUGGAGAUUGAAAUUUAGUAAUUUAGAAAAGUACUGUAAAGGAAAUAAUUAUUAUAUUAAUGUUAGCUAUAAAUUUAUAU